rnacentral:lncRNA from 13 species
CUUUCGCCUUGGCCGGUUACUCCGCGCACAACCAUGCAAUGGUUUACUGUUCGGGACAAAACCGCAGCAUCAACAGAUCCUAUGAGAGGAUUAAUGAUAACGUGGGAUCUAAGACUGUGCUCAGUUAUGUCUGUCUAUCCAACAAGAGAAAGGUCUGUAACAGGUCUAGACAAUGAGACAGAUGGUUCAUAUGGAGUCACACACCCCUAAAGAACGUAUACAGUAUGUAACAUGCCAGGCUCUCACGUGCUCAGAGCCCAACAGAAACUACCCCUUCCCUGGAUACAUCAACAUCAGCUCACAGGUAAGGCUCUGUCUGAGAAUAAUAUAUUGUACCAUAUUGUAUAGGGCCCAUGAUGCAUUGCAUAGGAUGUGCAUUAUUAGCCUUAAAUGAUAUGUGCAUGUGUUAUGUAUUAUGCACAACUUGGUUAGGCUAGGACUGGGACGGGACUUGUCAUUCUCGCCUCCGAAAACUUUACCAGUUGUUAUACUGCAUGGGUAUUUUAUUUCUAGCUAUUUCCAUCAUUUCUAUUGUCCAAAUAACAAUAGAGACACA